rnacentral:rRNA from 1 species
UACGUAGGGGGCAAGCGUUGUCCGGAUUUAUUGGGCGUAAAGAGCGUGUAGGCGGUCAGGUAGGUCGGUUGUGAAAACUGGAGGCUCAACCUUCAGAGGUCGACCGAAACCCCCUGGCUAGAGUCCGGGAGAGGAGAGUGGAAUUCCUGGUGUGGCGGUGAAAUGCGCAGAUAUCAGGAAGAACACCCGUGGCGAAAGCGGCUCUCUGGAACGGUACUGACGCUGAGACGCGAAAGCGUGGGGAGCGAACAGG